GACAGAGGGUGCAAACGUUGUUCGGAGUUACUGGGCGUAAAGGGUGCGUAGGCGGCUUUUUAAGUUUGGUGUGAAAUCUCCCGGCUCAACUGGGAGGGUGCGCCGAAUACUGAGAGGCUAGAGUGUGGGAGAGGAAAGUGGAAUUCCUGGUGUAGCGGUGAAAUGCGUAGAUAUCAGGAGGAACACCGGUGGUGUAAACGGCUUUCUGGACCAUAACUGACGCUGAUGCACGAAAGCGUGGGUAGCAAACAGG
rnacentral:rRNA from 1 species